rnacentral:tRNA from 1 species
GCGCUUGUAGCCCAACCGGCAGAGGCAGCGGACUUAAAAUCCGCGUGUUGUGGGUUCGAAUCCCACCUGGCGCACUA